CUUGGUGUAUCUUUGGAGUGAUUUCAGGGAAUAUCAAAUAUCAAUUGGAGAAUUGUGGGGACAUGAGAUUGAAGUACACCUCGAGAGAAAUUCGUGAGCGCAAACGGCGACGGAAUUAGAGCUGGGACGAGGAAGAAUAGAGCCGACAAAGCCGGCUACGCAGGACCCCACGGCCGCGGCAGCCGGCCGUAGCUAAGGAGCAGUGGACCACGGGCACACCCGUGGCCGCGGGUGGUGACCGCGGCUAUGUCCGCCCGUGAUACAGAACGUUCUGGAUCAGCACCUACGGUCCGAGCCGCGGCCGCGGGCUUUCUCCUUUCCAGCCGCGUUCCCGGCCACGGUCGCCGCCGUGACUGCGGGGAAAAGGCGGGUUUCCUCCCCUUGGUGGGCCCAGACGUGAUUUUUAGACCUUAAACCCUUUCCCCCUCUUCCAACUACCAAAAUUGAAGGCAUUGAAGAUGAGAGAAGGAAGAAAGCAACAUUGAAAUAUGAUUUGUCACUUUGCUUCUCUCUUUCAUUUAUGUUAUUCCUUUAAUCUAGGUAUGUUGUAUGUUGAAUAUGUUAGGCUAAAAUUCCCCUUUAAUUUGNAGUGGUUGGUGAGGAGCAAUAUAUGCAGAGUAGGGAGAGAGUACAAAUCAGAGGAACCACUCUCAUCAGAGGAGCCGUAUGGGUCAGAAGAACCAUUUAUACCAGAAGGAUUUCAUCCAUCAGAGGAAUGACUCUAGCCAGAGGAGUCAUCCGCACCAGAGAAGUCAUUCUUGACAAAGGAGCUCUCUCCUCCAGAGAAAUCAUCUGCGCCGGAAAAGUCACCAUCGUCAGGGAGGUCAUCGUCAUCAGAAAAGUCAACUCCAUCAGAGAAGUCACUACCGCCAGAGGAGGCGCCCUUGCCAGAGAAGACGUGUUUAUCAGAGGAGUUCUUCAUGCCAGAGAUGUCAAUAUCACCAGAGAAGACGCCUUCGCCAGAGAAGACAUUUCCAUCAGAGGAGCCAAUAAACGCGCGGGAAGGUCUCCCGCGUAUUAUCGAAAUUACCAACGUAUCCUUCCACCACGCAGGACGCAUGCACCGAAGAUAUUUUUACUAUUUUACCCCUCCGCUUGUAAAUCUAUAAAUAGGGCCCGAGCUCGUGUAUUAUUUCUUACGCUAUCUCAUAUUUUUAAUACAACAGUCAUUUUUCUCUCCCGUAUUAAGUUUCCGAUCAUUCUACUUCGCUCUUUCCGAUCAGUUCCAAUAGGUAUAGUUUACUGUUUCAUCGUGUAGUUUUAGGUGUUGGUUUCAUUAAACACCACCUAUAUAUAUAAAUAUAUAGGAUAGAGUUCUAUGGAGACCAUCAAAAAUUCGAAGAACAAAGACCAAAUCUUGUGCGUCGAUCUUGGUAUAUUCAAGGGUGAUGAUUCACCUGGUGAAAAUUUGAUAUUUUCGUUAAUUGUCAUAGAUAUAGGCAAUCAAAUAUUUUAUUUAUGGAAUAUUAAUUUAUGAAGAGUCUGUUACGUGAAUAAUGCAUCCACAUAUUAUGUUCAUUGAUAUGUUCGUAGAAAAUACUAAUGAACAUACUAAUGUUCGUUGAUAUGUUCGUAAAAAAAUAAAUGAACAUACUAAUGUUCGUCGAUGUUUUCAUAAAAAUAUAAAUGAACAUACUAAUGAACAUACUAAUGUUCGUCGAUAUUUUUGUAGGAAAAUAAAUGAACAUAAUAAUGUUCACAUAUUAUGUUCAUUAACGGAUCAGGCCCCAGAACAGGAAGUUUCGAAAUUUUUGGAAUUUAUUCAACGUGAUCCCAGAUUUUAGUGGAUUUAAUCAACCAAUAUGAGCAAGUAAAAGCACAACGUAUGUGACUAUCCAAUGUGUUAUUUUUGUUAGCUUUUGGAAACUCUUCAAAAGCACCAAUGAUAAACAUUCAUUUUGCAUUGUUUUUAUUGGCAAAUUAUUGCUUGAAGUGUUAGGAAUAUGUUUAAUUGUCAUAUCAUUUAUUAUGAGUUUCAUAUUCUUUUGUGAUAUUACGUUUAGGAGUAGUUUUGGUUGUUUUGGUACAAAUUUGAGUGUUUUAGAAACAUAACAUCGAUAAUGAAAUUCCGAAGUUCGAGUUUCAAGAGUUACGGGCUAGAUAAUCAAGGAAAUGAGCUCGAAAAGGUCAAGAUAUACGUUAAAAGAAAGAUGCAUCGGGGAUCGUGCCAUAGGUCGUCGAGCUCAAGAGGUGGACAAAGGGCGAGUCCGACGAUCGUCGUGGAGGUUGUCAAUGUCUAUAUAUCAUUUUGGGCAUCUAGGCGAUCACUCAAACAAGAAUUCGAGCUGUUGUUCAGCGACCUGUCCGGCGAUCUGAGCCGAGGUCACCGCCCUCCCACGUUUUUUUCAUUUUCGCGAUUUCUUCUGUAUUUUUGAAUUUCUUGACUAAAUUUUUCCCUGAGCCUAUAAAUAGGUGUCAUUGUUGACCUAUUUAGGGUUGACAAACAUGAUUUUUGUACCUCACUUUCGCAUGAAUUAUUGUCAUUUUCCCCUAUGAUUUGAUUAUUAGUGUGUGUUUGUAUCUCAAUUUGAGCUUUGUUGAAAUAUGAUGCUUGGUGUAUCUUUGGAGUGAUUUCAGGGAAUAUCAAAUAUCAAUUGGAGAAUUGUGGGGACAUGAGAUUGAAGUACACCUCGAGAGAAAUUCGUGAGCGCAAACGGCGACGGAAUUAGAGCUGGGACGAGGAAGAAUAGAGCCGACAAAGCCGGCUACGCAGGACCCCACGGCCGCGGCAGCCGGCCGUAGCUAAGGAGCAGUGGACCACGGGCACACCCGUGGCCGCGGGUGGUGACCGCGGCUAUGUCCGCCCGUGAUACAGAACGUUCUGGAUCAGCACCUACGGUCCGAGCCGCGGCCGCGGGCUUUCUCCUUUCCAGCCGCGUUCCCGGCCACGGUCGCCGCCGUGACUGCGGGGAAAAGGCGGGUUUCCUCCCCUUGGUGGGCCCAGACGUGAUUUUUAGACCUUAAACCCCUUUUCCCCCUCUUCCAACUACCAAAAUUGAAGGCAUUGAAGAUGAGAGAAGGAAGAAAGCAACAUUGAAAUAUGAUUUGUCACUUUGCUCUCUCUUUCAUUUAUGUAUUCCUUUAAUCUAGGUAUGUUGAUGUUGAAUAUGUUAGGCUAAAAUUCCCCUUUAAUUUGGGGAUUAGGCUAUAUGGAUGAUGUAAUGAAUUGAUUAUGUUGCUCAAUAUAUGUCUUUGAUUAUUCCUUUG
rnacentral:lncRNA from 1 species